UACGUAGGGGGCAAGCGUUUGUCCGGAAUCAUUGGGCGUAAAGAGCGUGUAGGCGGCUCGAUAAGUCUGCUGUGAAAGUCCAGGGCUCAACCCUGGAAGGCCGGUGGAAACUGUCGGGCUAGAGUCCGGAAGAGGCGAGUGGAAUUCCCGGUGUAGCGGUGAAAUGCGCAGAUAUCGGGAGGAACACCAAUGGCGAAGGCAGCUCGCUGGGACGGUACUGACGCUGAGAGCGAAAGCGUGGGGAGCAAACAGG
rnacentral:rRNA from 1 species